rfam:Xenopus tropicalis strain Nigerian Chr10_contig_517, whole genome shotgun sequence.
GGGGGUAUGGAUCAGUGGUAGAGCAUUUGACUACAGAUCAAGACAUCCCCAGUUCAAAUCUGGGUCCCCCCU